AUCAACGUGUGUUAAAAACUCCAGACAUUCCUCACAUUUCUGUCCAGCAAAUUAAUUUAAUCAACUUAAAUUAAAGUCAAUUCAUUCCUCAAACCGUAAUAUUCAUCCUUCAUCCAUCACCUUCAAGCAUUCGCAAACUUAUCAAGCCAACAACGAUAUUUCUCGAGUUGAAUAGAAUUAUGGAACCUCAACGAGAAAGAAGUGUGCAAGAGGUCGCACUAAACAAUCCGAUUAUUUUGACAGAAAUUCUGAAACAGAGCUCCGCCCCGUUGAAAAGUUGUCGACUAGUUUCCCACUUUUGGAACGAAAUGGUCCUCUCCCUUCGGAACACGAGACUCGCCUUAAACCUGAACACAAAGGAUGAAGAGGUUGAAACCUACCCCCUUCCAUUCUUGGCCUUUUUCGACCUCUGCUCCAAAUUCGACGCCCGACUUGCGAAACGCGUCACUGGCAAGACGUCGAAUUGCACCGAGGAAACCUACCCCUUAGCCGGGAAGCUAAGUCAUCUCUGUAUCAGCUUUAGUGAUCGGGUCGAAAUUUUGGACAUGCGUAUCAAUUACGAAGAUUGUUUAAAAUCCAUUUCCUUAGUUUUUAGAAAUUCUCUCCCGAAUUUGAAACAAUUACGGAUCAGGUUCGCCUUCUUUGACGACAACGAAGAAUAUGAUUAUGUUCCCAAGCGAGAAAUUUUUGUGACGCCACUUCCAGAAAAGCCAAAUUUGACAGUGUUCAACCUCAAGUCAGAAGUGGUGGCGGCGUCGCCGAUUUUGACCAGUUUUGCUCAGCUGGUCGUCAACGCGUCGCCUAAUUUGAGAGAGGCCACCCUUCCCUGGGGAUUCUAUCCGGAUUUGGAAAGGUCGAAAUUUCUGGACACCUUAACCCUCGAACUGGACGACGCUCGAGGACUUGACGUCGCUUUGAAACAGCUUAAUCCGUCCGAACUGACACGUAUGCUGGAUCAAGUCGGCGGUCAACUCCUGCACCUGUCCUUUUCCUAUUCCACCUUCCACUACGGAAAGAGUAUGACGGAGGACUACCAUGUCGUCGAUAACUCGACCCCACCCGGAUUCCGUUUGCUGAGAAAGAUGCCGAAACUGCGAAAGUUCGAUAACGAAAUGAUCGACAUUAUUCAGCAUUCCGAUCUCUGGCAAGAUAUCGGACGAAUGCCCGCUCUCAAAUCGCUCAGAAUUGGAAAAAUUUGGAAAGACUCAACUAGUGUGGAUACAAGUUUGAAAAAUCUCUUUGAAAAACAACACAUUUUCACAAACGUGGCGGAUUUGAGGAUUCACGAGCUGCACGAUCCCAGACUUUUGGACGGAUUGAAGACGGCGUUUCCUAACUUGCAGAAGUUGUGGUUGGACAACAAGGAGGCCGGGAUGGAGUUGGGCGUGGUGCUCAAGGCGUGUGUGGGUUGGGGCGGGCUGAAUCAUUUGCAUAUUGGGCUGCCGACUUAUGCCAAGAAAAUGUGGGAUAUCGUUAAGGCUUUGUUAGACUGCGCUGAAUUGUACAAAGACCUGAAAAGUUUAGAAAUCGAGACGCACAGUUGGGAUUUGACGUGGCAUGAUUUAACCGAGACUGAGCUGCAUGUUUUUAAGGAGGCGCUGUAUUCGAUGAAAGGGAUGGAUCGGGUCGUCAUUCGUGAUCUUUAUUUUGGUGAUGAAUCCCGGAGAAAUAUAUUGGAUGUUAUGGCGUCAAACGAAAUGCCCAUGUGGAAAUUUAAAGUGGUGCAAGAGUAGUGAAGCCUCGACGUAAAAACGACUUCCGUGUAGUAACUUUUUACGCCAGAUUUGUAAAAGUUCAUGUCUAAAAAUAUUGCUAAUAACCUGACAACUUUUAUGUACAAAUUACGCAAAGAAGUUAUUAAGCACCUGCUUAAUAUCAGUAAAUACGACGAACUUUUACAAUUUCAAUGUAUCUACAACGUUAUAAAUUUAAUUAAGCA